UCUAGUGGGAGGGAGCUUGGCUGGAGCGAUGGAUGAUGUGACAGACUGCAGUACAGUGUGAAAGAGGUGUGGACGUGUGUGUGUGUGUGUGUGUGUGCACGCAGGCACACAUGUGGAGUGUGCAAGGUGCGUGUGUUUGCACCUAUGUCUUUCCCUGUUCCUCUAUCUUGAUUAUACUGGAUCAGGUAGGUUGGGAACUGGCAGGCGGGACA